rnacentral:sRNA from 1 species
AGAUAUCAAGAAAGGAGACGUUCUCAUCGUCGGAGCUUGUAUUUAUUUAUGGACUUGCUGUUUCCGCUGGAUUAUUUCAUUUUGGGGGGGGCUCUCCCACUCGAUUCUGUAACUUGACAGAGACAAAGACAAGCAAGAAAAAGACGAAAUCAAAAUUAAAAAAAAGAAUCAAAAAAAAAAAAUCAACUUGUACAUUUAUUAUUGACGGAAUGUGAAAAAAAGGAGAAUAGAGAACGGAGAACGGAGAAUGGAGAGAUGAAUUUGCUAACAAGGAGAAGAGAAGAGCGUUCAUUACGAAUUGGUUAAUGUAGAAAAACAAAGUAGGGCGAUUUUCAGAAUAAAAAGAAAGGAAAAGGCGGAGGGGAGGGAGAAGAGAAUACAGAGCAACGUCCUGCAGUACCGUGGUCCCUGCUGUGGAGGUUGAGAGAAUCGAGAACAGAACAAACACACAAAUUUAAAAAGGUCCCCGGCUAGGCAGCAUGUCGCAGCAUGUCGCAGCAUGUCGCAACGGGAAAAGGCGAGUGGGUAGUCUGGGAGAAAGGCAGGGAGAUUGGAAGAUUGAGAGAUGAGAAGAUUAGGAUAUUAUGCGGAAGAACCAGCCAGAAAACACCCCGAGAAAAAAACACAAGGUAGAGUAUGAAAUGCAAGCCGCUAACAACACCACACCAAGCCGUACCGUUUUCCUUAUUUUUUUAUUUUUAUUUUUGUAUUUUUUAAGCUUUCCGUUUUUUACAUCCCUUAUACCGGCACCAUGCUUAUCGCUAUCACUGUGGAGAGGAG